CUCAGUUCCGUGGGUUACUCCUGCCAACUCGACGCCGGCCGCCAUGACACUCGCUCGGAAAGCGGCAGCGGAUCAUAGAAAAGCGCCGCGGUGGCGUAGACAGGCCCCGCGAAGCCGCCGGACGUGUCCUUGGCGCAAGGGAGGCUGGGAUCGCGGAGGACCGAGCGCGGGCUGGAUUAACCGCAGCCAGUGCCUAGCGCAAGGUUAGGUGCAUGCAGGCGGCCAGCUUCGGCCGGGGAAGGAAUGGCCUGGAUAACUGGGGCAUCGCGGCGCUCCUCGGCCUCCUGCAGCUGCGUUUCAAAGCAGAGCCGACCCUUGAUCACCAUCUUUGACAAGCUAUACCUACUAAAAGAUGUGAAGCAGACACCUACAUUCCAUGACUCAACUGUAAAGAGAACACAAAGCUC
rnacentral:lncRNA from 1 species